CAGAUGAUGUGCUUAGGGUGAAUGUUGUCACAGUUUACCACAGAGAAGCUCUGGUCCCUUAUCCUACAUUAGAGGUUCGGUUUGUCAGCCAGGCCGUUGGAACAUUCGUUGCAUGGCCGACCCAUCUUGUGAAAAAAGUAUCUGAUGAGAAGCCUCCCCCCAAGUUGGUUGGCUAACCUCAAAUGGGCACUGCAGUGGGUGCAGUUGAUCCCCUGGGAGAAUUGGUUAAGAGUCUGUACGACGUUUAUCAAAAGGCUAUCGAGUUGUCGUGGGACGGGGUGAAAUUUGGGAUACUUAAUUCCAAAAAUGGUUUCUUCAUCGCACAUGCAGAUGUUACUGAAAUCAUUUUAGGCGACAAAUUCUUAAACAUAUCUAUAUUACAACUGUGGAUGAUGUUUAUGAAUUAUUGGAGUACAAGCAUAGGUUUUGCUCCAGCUUAUGGUUUCCUUGAGCCCCAGUCUAUACACCACGCAAAGGAUAGAUGUGAAGAAUGUGAACAAUACAUAGAAAGUUGGGUCAAGGAAUCACAUCGAGAAGUGUACUUAGGACCUUACUUGAAUCAGUAAGUAAAUUCAUGUUACUAUUGUCAAAAAGUUUGCAUUAAAAGUUGGUUAAUUUCAUUAUGUUGACUUCAAGACACAUUGGCAACUUCUCGUUUUGUGUCCACGAGAGAAUAGUGUAGUUUGGUUUUGUUCUCUACGGAAAAAGCCUGAUCUUCACAUUAAGGCCGCAGUUAACAGUGUAAUGAAGAAAAUAUCGACUACUUUCGAAGGCGAGGCAAAUGCACCUGCACCUUAAUGGAUUGAACCAAAGAGUCAUGUACAAGCUGGAGGCUAUGAGUGUGGAUAUUAUGUGAUGCAUUGGAUGUGGUGCAUAGUCAGCGGCGGUUUGAAGAAUGAACUACACAAGUGGUUUUCUGAUGGAACACCAUUAGACAGUGACACCAUGACGAUACUACGCAAGAAAUGGGCAGCCUAUUUUCUACAAGUUCAAAAGAAGGAUGUUACACAAGUUUAGAUGACAUAGGAAGUUUAUUGUUUCGAACUUAACAUUUUCAUUGUUUAUGUUUCAUGAAUAAUUAUG